rnacentral:lncRNA from 1 species
UCUCUGAUACCAAUAAUAUGGGGAAAUAAGUCAUCGGUAAUACAUAGUACUCUAGGCUACAGCCUCUUUCUCGGGCAUCAAUUCAGGUCUAACUUUUUUUAUUACAGAAGACAUCUAACCUCUUUCUUUAAUCUGAUGCAGUUACUGAGACUAUCAAGAUAAUAUGUGGGCAGGACCGGGCCAUUUCUCAAGAACAUAGCAUCAUUUAGUUGGUACUGCCUUUUUUUGAUGCAGAGGGUCCUUAAAAAGGCAAGUGCGGAGCAAAACUAAGGAAAUAUCUUAAUGCUGGAAUAGUCUUUGUAACUAUCUUCAUUGUUGUAGAAAACUCUCUCUCGCUGAACAUUUACAAAUGGAACUUUCUCUCUCUAUACAGAUACAAAAACAAAUAUAUAUUUUCCUUUUCUUUUGCCUGCUAAAUCCAUCGAUCUCUCCUUCAAUUUCAAAUUCUUCUUUUUCAACACUUCAUCAUUAGAUUCAUUCCCUAUACCAUCUCUACUGAUUCAGGAACAAAG